GGAUGAACGCUGGCUGUGUGCCUAAUACAUGCAUGUCGAGCGAGGUUCUUUUGAACCUAGCGGCGAAUGGGUGAGUAACACGUGCUUAAUCUACCCUUUAGAUUGGAAUACCCAAUGGAAACAUUGGCUAAUGCCGGAUACGCAUGGAAUCGCAUGAUUCCGUUGUGAAAGGAGCCUUUAAAGCUCCGCUAGAGGAUGAGGGUGCGGAACAUUAGUUAGUUGGUAGGGUAAUGGCCUACCAAGACUAUGAUGUUUAGCCGGGUCGAGAGACUGAACGGCCACAUUGGGACUGAGAUACGGCCCAAACUCCUACGGGAGGCAGCAGUAGGGAAUAUUCCACAAUGAGCGAAAGCUUGAUGGAGCGACACAGCGUGCACGAUGAAGGUCUUCGGAUUGUAAAGUGCUGUUAUAGGGAAAGAACACCUGGUUGAGGAAAUGCUUCCAGGCUGACGGUACCCUSUCAGAAAGCGAUGGCUAACUAUGUGCCAGCAGCCGCGGUAAUACAUAGGUCGCAAGCGUUAUCCGGAAUUAUUGGGCGUAAAGCGUUCGUAGGCUGUUUAUUAAGUCUGGAGUCAAAUCCCAGGGCUCAACCCUGGCUCGCUUUGGAUACUGAUAAACUAGAGUUAGAUAGAGGUAAGCGGAAUUCCAUGUGAAGCGGUGAAAUGCGUAGAUAUAUGGAAGAACACCAAAGGCGAAGGCAGCUUACUGGGUCUAUACUGACGCUGAGGGACGAAAGCGUGGGGAGCAAACAGGAUUAGAUACCCUGGUAGUCCACGCCGUAAACGAUGAUCAUUAGUCGGUGGAGAGUUCACUGACGCAGCUAACGCAUUAAAUGAUCCGCCUGAGUAGUAUGCUCGCAAGAGUGAAACUUAAAGGAAUUGACGGGGACCCGCACAAGCGGUGGAGCAUGUGGUUUAAUUUGAAGAUACGCGGAGAACCUUACCCACUCUUGACAUCCUUCGCAAUGCUAUAGAGAUAUAGCGGAGGUUAACGGAGUGACAGAUGGUGCAUGGUUGUCGUCAGCUCGUGUCGUGAGAUGUUUGGUCAAGUCCUGCAACGAGCGCAACCCCUAUCUUUAGUUACUAACGAGUUAUGUCGAGGACUCUAGAGAUACUGCCUGGGUAACUGGGAGGAAGGUGGGGAUGACGUCAAAUCAUCAUGCCUCUUACGAGUGGGGCAACACACGUGCUACAAUGGUCGGUACAAAGAGAAGCAAUAUGGCGACAUGGAGCAAAUCUCAAAAAGCCGAUCUCAGUUCGGAUUGGAGUCUGCAAUUCGACUCCAUGAAGUCGGAAUCGCUAGUAAUCGCAGAUCAGCUACGCUGCGGUGAAUACGUUCUCGGGUCUUGUACACACCGCCCGUCGCACCAUGGGAGCUGGUAAUACCCAAAGUCGGUUAGCUAACCUCGGAGGCGACCGCCUAAGGUAGGACUGGUGACUGGGGUGAAGUCGUAACAAGGUAUCCCUACGAGAACGUGGGGAUGGAUCACCUCCUUUCAUACGGAGUACAUAAAUGUUAUGGAAAAAUUAUUUGUAUCCAGUUUUGAGAGACCUAUCUCUCAAUUUGUUCUUUGAAAACUGAAUAUCGACAUUGAAAAAUUAAAUUUAUUAAUAUUUCAAAGUUUAGAUCAACCUAUAGAAUAUAUCAUACAAUAGACAAACAAUAGGUCUUAUACUACUAUUAAACAAGAUAAGAGUUUUUGGUGGAUGCCUUGGGUCUGGAAGUCGAUGAAGGACGUGAUUACCUGCGAUAAGCCUCGGUUAGCUGGAAAUGAGCUGUGAUCCGGGGAUUUCCGAAUGGGGAAACCUAAUUGAGCUAAUCCUCAAUUAUCAUAUCGAUGAAUACAUAGUCGAAUGAAGAGACACGCUGUGAAUUGAAACAUCUCAGUAGCAGCAGGAAGAGAAAAUAAAGAAUGAUUCCCUCAGUAGUGGCGAGCGAACGGGGAAGAGCCCAAACCAACAUUCGUUGUUGGGGUUAUAGGACUACAUUUUAGAGUUACAAAAUUUACAUAUAGCAGAAUAAGUUGGAAUGCUUAAACAUAGAGGGUGAAAUUCCCGUAAGCGAAAUAUGUAGAUCUCUUUGUAGUAUCCUGAGUAGGGCGGGGCACGUGAAACCCUGUCUGAAUUUGCCGGGACCACCCGGUAAGGCUAAAUACUAACCAGACACCGAUAGUGAACUAGUACCGUGAGGGAAAGGUGAAAAGAACCCCGGGAGGGGAGUGAAAUAGAUUCUGAAACCAAUUACUUACAGUUAGUCAGAGCCCGUUAAUGGGUGAUGGCGUACAUCUUGCAGAAUGGACCGGCGAGUUAUGUCAACAUGCGAGGUUAAGUGGAUUAAAGCGAAGCCGUAGAGAAAUCGAGUCUUAAUAGGGCGCUUAGUAUGUUGAUAUAGACCCGAAACCAGGUGAUCUACCCAUGAGCAGGUUGAAACUUAGGUAACACUAAGUGGAGGACCGAACCGUAGUACGCUAAAAAGUGCCCGGAUGACUUGUGGGUAGGGGUGAAAUUCCAAUCGAACUUGGAGAUAGCUGGUUCUCUCCGAAAUAGCUUUAGGGCUAGCGUGUAGUGUUAAGUGAUGGGGGUAGAGCACUGAAUAUGGAAUGGCGGCGCCUAGCUGUACUGACUAUAAUCAAACUCCGAAUACUAUCAUGAAUUGCUAUGCAGUCGGUACAUCGGUGAUAACGUCGAUGCACGCGAGGGGAACAACCCAGAUCGUCAGCUAAGGUCCCGAAAUUGUGUUAAGUGA
rnacentral:rRNA from 2 species